GGGCAGUGUGGUGUACAUGAGGAGAGACCAGAAGUUGUUAUCCGGAGAAGCUGAACUGAAGGUGCUCUGGACUCCAGGACACUGGUCCCCGCGGAAAGUGACAGGGAGGGGUCAGACACACUCCGGAUGGUGGUCACUCUGUCAGCCUGGAACCUGGAGUGACGAGUUACAGGAGAGCUCCGAACCAAUCCAAGGUGAUCAUUUGGAAUGAGCAAGCAAACAAGAAACUUUCCUCAUGUCAAGUCACUGAGAGCUCGUUGCCAGAACUGGGAGAGGUGGCUCAAUGGUCCUCACUCUCGGAGAGCGGUGGUGAGGGAUGGAAGGCAGUUACCUCGCAUUGUACAGAUAGGCACAGGAAAUAGGUAACUGGAAAGAAGUAUGAUUUACGUAAUGAUGGGUCUUAAUAUUAAUUUAUUGAGUGCUAUUGAGCCCGAAGACCAACCUCCCUGCCUCCAACUUUGGGUGGGAGUGUUUUGAAUCCCACCUUUGACCUCUCAUGGAGCAGCUGUCUCUGUUGCUGUGUAGCAUCUCUGGGGUUGGAACACUUGCCACCCCUUAUGCACCACUUCACACGAGCUGUUUUGGUUUUUCUUUUUAAGUUUAUUUAUUUAUUUUGAAAGAGGACAUGCACGCAGGCACAUGCGUGCUCCAGCAGGGGAGGG